UAAGUUAACCAGAUGAUCGCAUCUUUUAAGAUGAGGAAAGUCCGAGCUCCACAGGAUAGGAUGCCGGGUAAUCCCCGGUGGAGGUAACUCCCAGGCUAGUGCCACAGAAAUAUACCGCUUUUAUGAAAGGUUUUCUUUAAAACCUUUUCUUAAUAAGUAAGGGUGAAAAGGUAAGGUAAGAGCUUACCGGGUUUCAGGUAACUGGAAUGCCAGGUAAACCCCAUCUGGAGUAAGUCCAAAUAGGGAGAAUAUAAAAGUGAUCCGCUUUUCUCCGGGUAAGGACGCUUGAGGGUACAGGUAACUGUUCCCCUAGAUAGAUGAUCAUCUAAUACAGAACUCGGCUUAUAGGUUAACUUAUUUU
rnacentral:RNase_P_RNA from 1 species